UCCCACCAGGCAGCCACCGAGAUCGAUCAGGCAGAUGCCAAAAAUCUUAAAGCCCCUGACCCGAGAGCCACAAACACUCAGGCAGACCAAGGCACCACACUCCACACCAAGUGUGGCAGGGGGAGGGGAGGCGAAGAUGUAUAGCAUCAAAAGAAGUCCCAGGAGAGGGGAGGAGUCGAAGGCCCCACCUGACAUAUACAGUCAUACACAAACACAGUCACCCACUUUCUCCCUCAUGCUCACACAUACACAUUAGAGCUGAAACAACUAAUCGAUUUAAUCGAUUAUAAUCGAUUAUUAAAAUAGUUAACAACUUUUUUAGUCAUCGAUUAGUUGUUUAAUAAUCAUAUUUUACCGCAUAAAGUCUAUUUUUUACCACAAUCUGACAUCGGUUACAAUCUGUUAAAUUUGCCGCCAGUGUGUGGCAGUAAUGAGCCACUGAUCUACCAGUGGAGCCGCAGAAGAAGAAAUGAGCCAAUAAGUGCCCUCGGUUUUCAUGACGUAUCACGUUACUGACGCUCAUCUUGCUGUGAGAGAUGGCGGAUCAACAAGAAAUACGGAAGAAAAAUAGAAGCGACAAAACAAGAGAAACCCCGGACAAAAACCUCACGAGUAUGGGAGCACUUCACUAGAUGCCUUGAAAAGACCGGUGACCUGCAAAAUAUGCAAAAACCAUGGCACGACGGAAGCACGACGUCCCUAAGUGAACAUUUGAGAUGAAAACGUGGGGGCUGAUGCAGCAGAGGAAUGUCCGAAAAAAACAAGCAACGAUGGACAACUACAUGGGGAACAAGACACUCACCCCCAGCAAUGCAUACCACUUACAAACUCUAUUCUAGAUUCUACAUUAUUUUUAUGGAAUUUACCUCAUAUUUUGAUGCCAAAAAAUUAUUCUGGACUGAUAUUUUGCACUGUUUAGCUCAUUUUACACCACUGACUGUGUUCAUCUGCAAUAAAAUAGAUUGCAGUCAACUGCAAAAA